GUGUGUGCGGGCGUGUGUGUAGAGGGGGGGAGGAUGUGGAAAUGCAUCCGCUUGUUUAUUUAUGUAGAUGAACAGAAGGAAUGACAAUCAGGGAGGGAGAGGCAGACGGAGAGAGAGAAAGAAAGGUUUGGAAGAGAGUUGUAUUUGCAAACUGCUGGCUGACUUCCCACUGGAGCCAUGAGAGAUCAGACCGAGAGGCUGCGUGUCAGAAGAGAGAGAGAGUGCAUAUGUGUGUGUUCGCACAUCUGAGAGGAGAAACGCAGAGAGACAGACAGAGAGAGGGAGAAAGGGGAGGGAGGAAGGGAGAGGAACCCGUUCAACCCAUUUCAGCGGCAACUUUUCAGCCCGUCUUACAUGAGGUCUCUCCCUGAAUAUGGACACUUUUCGCUCCCGUCUCCUCAGCCAUCCCGUCGCCACGGUUCCCCGAUGCCGAACUUUGGCCACACUUUAGGCUGAAGCAACCUGAGUUUUCUCUGCAGUUUUGCAGGAGGUGAUGAUGGCAUUCACCAUGUAAAGCAACUCAAGCCUUUGCAUCAUCACCUCUCCUUGCGGUGUCAUUUGAGCCUUUGCAGCAACGAGGCUGGCAACACGUCCUGGCAUGGAACCGCUCCGCAUAUGCCAAGAGUGCAGUUCAAGAGUGCACAGGCAGACAAAAAGAGUGAUGCAGCUCACCAUCAGUGUGUGAAUAUGUGUAUGAAGCACUCUGGAGUUUUUGGACCUGAUAAAAGAGCAAUACCCUGCCGGCCAUUUACAAACAGGCAGGUAAAUCUUGUAGUUUCAAGUACUGAAAAACAAAGUGUCAAUAAAAAGUAAGAUAUGUGAUGCUUCUUUGAAAUCCAAGGGGGGGACAGCUCUACUAUGUGUGACUGGAGACGGCCUCUAGGGCGUCUCAUUUAAAGGAAUAUAACACAAAGGAUAACAGAAGUCUAGAAUUUAACUGAAAGUGUAAUUUUUUUAAAAUCAUGUUCACAACAGAAAGCAGCUCAAGUAUGUUGUGUA